CUUCAGUCCAGUGCUUGCUUUUAUUUACUCCUCUCAUCUAUUCAUGUCUUCUUGUAAUAUGGCUACAGCUUGCCCACCUGCUUCGGCGUGUCUGUCAGGACAAUCUGAUGGGAGUGACCAGUCCCACAAAGCCUGGAACUAGAAGCUGCUGGGCCCUUUCCCAAUGUGGUCACCAACUCAGUUAUCCUUUCUUGAAAGAACAACAUUGAAAUAAAUCCUCAAGGAACAGAGAGAGCCAGUUAACAAGUGAGGUUCCUAGGUGAGGCUGAAGCUGCUGAUUCUGGCACCAUAACUGGAGAAAUACUGGCUGUGAUCUAACAGAGUACUGCAAGUAAAUAAAAUAAAAUAAAGGUAUGUUCA
rnacentral:lncRNA from 1 species